GAUGAACGCGGGCGGCGUGCCUAAUACAUGCAAGUCGAGCGAACAGAUGAGGAGCUUGCUCCUCUGACGUUAGCGGCGGACGGGUGAGUAACACGUGGAUAACCUACCUAUAAGACUGGGAUAACUUCGGGAAACCGGAGCUAAUACCGGAUAAUAUAUUGAACCGCAUGGUUCAAUAGUGAAAGACGGUUUUGCUGUCACUUAUAGAUGGAUCCGCGCCGCAUUAGCUAGUUGGUAAGGUAACGGCUUACCAAGGCAACGAUGCGUAGCCGACCUGAGAGGGUGAUCGGCCACACUGGAACUGAGACACGGUCCAGACUCCUACGGGAGGCAGCAGUAGGGAAUCUUCCGCAAUGGGCGAAAGCCUGACGGAGCAACGCCGCGUGAGUGAUGAAGGUCUUCGGAUCGUAAACUCUGUUAUUAGGGAAGAACAAAUGUGUAAGUAACUAUGCACGUCUUGACGGUACCUAAUCAGAAAGCCACGGCUAACUACGUG
rnacentral:rRNA from 1 species